rnacentral:rRNA from 1 species
CAGCCGCCGCGGUAAUACGUAGGGUGCGAGCGUUAAUCGGAUUUACUGGGCGUAAAGCGUGCGCAGGCGGCCCGUUAAGACAGGUGUGAAAUCCCUGGGCUCAACCUAGGAAUUGCGCUUGUGACUGGCGGGCUCGAGUACGGUAGAGGGGGGUGGAAUUCCUGGUGUAGCAGUGAAAUGCGUAGAGAUCAGGAGGAACACCGAUGGCGAAGGCAGCCCCCUGGGCCUGUACUGACGCUCAUGCACGAAAGCUUGGGGAGCAAACAGGAUUAGAUACCCUGGUAGUCCACGCCCUAAACGAUGGGUACUAGCCGUUUGGUGCGCGAUAGCGCUGAGUGGCGAAGCUAACGCGUGAAGUACCCCGCCUGGGGAGUACGGCCGCAAGGUUGAAACUUAAAGGAAUUGGCGGG